rnacentral:rRNA from 1 species
UACGUAGGGUGCGAGCGUUGUCCGGAAUUAUUGGGCGUAAAGGGCUCGUAGGCGGUUUGUCGCGUCGGGAGUGAAAACACCGGGCUUAACUCGGUGCUUGCUUUCGAUACGGGCAGACUAGAGGCAUGCAGGGGAGAACGGAAUUCCUGGUGUAGCGGUGAAAUGCGCAGAUAUCGGGAGGAACACCGGAUGGCGAAGGCGUAGC